AUUGAACGCUGGCGGCAUGCCUUACACAUGCAAGUCGAACGGCAGCGGGGGAGAAGCUUGCUUUUCCUGCCGGCGAGUGGCGAACGGGUGAGUAAUACAUCGGAACGUGCCCUGUAGAGGGGGAUAACUAGUCGAAAGAUUAGCUAAUACCGCAUACGACCUGAGGGUGAAAGUGGGGGACCGCAAGGCCUCAUGCUAUAGGAGCGGCCGAUGUCUGAUUAGCUAGUUGGUGGGGUAAAGGCCUACCAAGGCGACGAUCAGUAGCUGGUCUGAGAGGACGAUCAGCCACACUGGGACUGAGACACGGCCCAGACUCCUACGGGAGGCAGCAGUGGGGAAUUUUGGACAAUGGGCGAAAGCCUGAUCCAGCAAUGCCGCGUGUGUGAGGAAGGCCUUCGGGUUGUAAAGCACUUUUGUCCGGAAAGAAAUGGCUCUGGUUAAUACCUGGGGUCGAUGACGGUACCGGAAGAAUAAGGACCGGCUAACUACGUGCCAGCCGCCGCAGUAA
rnacentral:rRNA from 1 species